rnacentral:snRNA from 1 species
UUUGUUCUCCUUGGUGAA